ensembl:lincRNA
CCCGGUGAUGUGAGGGACCAGAGGCGUGAUCUCAGAGGAGAUCAGAGAGGACAGAGGCAUCAGCGAACUGUAGACUCUGAGCCUGAGAUGUCCAUAGUGGCAGUCACUACCCCCAUGGCCUCACACACCUCUUUGCAAUCAGCCAGCUUUCCUUGACUGAGUUCUUCCUCCCUGCUGCUUUCACCAGCUCCCAGAGUCUGUGCCUGAGCCUCUCCCAGUACUUGGGAGUCUUCUACUGGACACCAUUUGGCUCGGGUGCUGAUUCUGCUCUAGACCUCCUUAAGAAAUGGUUCAUCUCCCGCCAGUUUCCAGGUGGAGCCAAGAAAAAAAGCCACCUGCACCGUCAGACUGUGGCCACGCCCACUCGCAUGACAUCUCUCGCAGGCCACGCCCCGCGCACCUGUGCGCCAGGUUCUGCUGGAGAGAGCGGAGCUGAGUGAGUUUGUUCCGCGUCUUUUACCAUUAUUUUUUAUUUUUCCUUUAUUUGAAUGUAUAUUACAUUUAACUCAUGUAAUUAUGUUGUCUUAACGUCGCAGAUGAAAAGGCUAAAAUAGUAUUUUCUUUGGGAGCUAAAUAGCAUUUUACCGGCAAUUUUUAUUUUUGUUAGUCUGCAGCGCUUCACUUAUUUUUUAAAAGCCCCUUGUGUACACAGACAACGUGUGUAUUCUUUUUACAUCGAAGAAAAACACCGUUUUAGCAGAAAUAAAACGUCGAUUAUCCAUAUUGUAAUCGUUUUCAAAAACUUGGUGAACUUUGUUCACAAAACCAAGCGUGCGCAUUUAUCCGAACAAAUAGUAGCCAACCUAGAAUUUAAAGUUUUUUUUCCCCAUUGUUUUCCACAGUAUGUCUAGAGAUUGUUCUUAUAUUUUUGGUAUAAAAUUUCCUUUGCAACUAAUGCUUUUUAGUUUCAGUGGUCUUUUAACCGUGUUGUUUUUGUGUUUUCAGUUCAGUAGUGUCUUUGGGCUGGACAUGACUCGCACUUAAUGGAAGAAUAAACGUAAGUACAAGCAUUUUAUUCAUUUCUUUACACCUGUCUUAUUGAGAUAUAUUCUAUGCUCUCUGCCCUGGUGAAAACGUCGUUUACUACUAAGAAAACGUAGUUUAAAUUCUCUUUAAAUAAUCUAAAUACUUGUGUUCUUGUGUUUCCAGUUUGGUGUCUUCGGGCAGGACGGACUUGGCUCAGCUGCUGAAAUUAUCUAUGUAAGUAUGAAGCUUUUUAUUCGUUUAUACAUAUCGUAUUGAAGUACACUACAGUUGUCAGAAGAGGACUCAAACUAGGCGGUACUAGAUUUCUCCAGGGCAGAAAUGGUUUUGACCCGACAACACUGUAGGCCUGCUAUUUUUAGCAUAAUUUUCUGCUAAAACUGCGAUCAAUGUCGCUUUUUUAAAUGCGCAUAAUACAAAUUCGUUAGAAGCCGUUUUAGCUUCCAAAAUGCAUCACAAUAAGGAUUAAUUGUUCGUGCAUUUACGAGCUUGUUUUAGUAAAAAGAAUGUGCUUUUCUCUAAUCGACACGCUGUAGCUGUAUUGUGUUUAAAUGUAACUGCUUCUAUACCUUGUUGAACAGAACACUCUGUUGCACCAGGCUAAUCGCUUUAUUGCUACUGUAUCUUUUGAACGUGUGAAUCAGUUCAGAAACUCGAUCAAAGUAGCUAGGAUAAUCUCGAGAUCAUGUUUGUAACCGAAAGUUAAUACUGAUUUCUGUUAUUUUACAGGAAAUGCAACGAAGUUCCAGUCUUCAUUCCGGUCUCUGCCUCGACUGAUAACUCGGAGAAACAGUAACGUGCUGUGUGUUUCUGUAUCUUUGCUUGUAGUUGUUUGCAAAUGUUUUCUUACUCUGUUGACUUGUAACACUAUUUAGCGUUAAUGUAGCCGUGCUUUGACACUUUGUAUUUGAAAUGCAUGUUCAUUUUCACUUUGAAGCCUGUGCAUCCGACGUAUUGUAAUGCUUUGUUUUGUAUGCCAUUUUCGCUCAAUAAAUUGUUGAUUG